GUGAAUCAUCGAAUUUUUGAACGCAAAUUGCACUCUCUUCGGAGAGUAUGCCUGUUUGUGGGUCAGCCUAAAUUAAAUCGACGUAGUCGCUGUUUCGCGGUGACAUUUGUCGGAACUUGGGGCAUAUUAAACCUUUGGGUACUUUAAGCGGCUUAAAAUUUUUUUUGCGAUUUAAUGAACGUUUCUAAGAUAUU
rnacentral:misc_RNA from 1 species